rnacentral:lncRNA from 1 species
GACAUGGGAAGUUCUUCUUACUUUUUGCUACCUAAGUUUGCAUUUUCUGACUUCUUCAUACUGAGGCACUCUUUUCCCAUUGAGGAAGGAAAUCCCUACAAGUCUGAAAUUUUACUUGUGUUAAGUCAUGUGUGCUUAGGAAAGUAAACAGCUGGUUUGUAAAAAUUGUUUCUUACAUGAUGCGCGUUUUCCUCAAGCCUUAUGUGGGCAUGUGUCUUACACAGUGGUGCAGCUUUGAUAAGAUCAGUAUGAGAGUGCUGUCCCACAACCUGUCGCUUUCUAAGGGGCUGGUUAUUUUCCCAUGAUGGUACUUUUAAUUUGCUGGGGCAUCCUCUAAACAGACCCUUUCUAAAGUCCCAGUUUAAGGCCGUCCCCUCUGAACAGAGAAUGUGGAGUAGGCGGAAAGCAAUGUUAGUGAUGGAGCUUGAGGACAGGAGAAGCAGACAGGAGACCUGCCACGUUUAGUUUAUCCCAUCUUAACACUGAACACAUCUCCGUACUUUUGAAGUUAAUACUCAUUUUACCUAGUUUUAAAUAGAAAAAAAAUUUUUUUAGGUAGCCCACUUAAAUUUUUGGCAUAGCUAAUUUUCCCAUAUCCAGUGUGAUGUUAUAGUCAGACAGUGUAUUCAGAUACCAGUCUUGGAUUGAAAUCUGUCCUAGUGCCUCAUGUCACCUGACUUGUUCAUCUAAAUAUUAUGAAGACCCAUUGUUUGCAUUUGCAAGGUUUUGGUACCACCAUGGCAUAAAGUAUGGUAGUGAGGCAAUGCAUAGAUUGUGUGUAGUUUUAGGCUGUGUUUACAUGUGUGUAAAGAAUUUUGGAAAGAAGAAACUAGUACAGAUACAUGGGAAAGAUGCUGUCUUCAUAGCCAUAUCAAGUGGAAGAAACCCCUGGCUGGACACACUGUUAGAACAUUUCAAAAAUGUAUUUUCAACUAGAACAGCUUGGUUAUAUUUUGUGGUUUGAAGAUCCUCCCUCUCCCCUCAUUGCAUGGCAAGAACUCAUGCUGCCUCUGAGCAACGGGCAUUGAGGAACACUAUUGCCUAAUAGGAUGAAAGGGCCUCGUUCUCCCUUACCUCCUCAAGCCCGAAGGAAACUG